rnacentral:rRNA from 1 species
GUAGGUGGCAAGCGUUGUCCGGGAAUUAUUGGGGCGUAAAGCGCGCGCAGGCGGUCCUUUAAGUCUGGUUGUGAAAGCCCACGGGCUCAACCGUGGGAGGGUCAUUGGAAACUGGGGGACUUGAGUGCAGAAGAGAAGAGUGGAAUUCCACGUGUAGCGGUGAAAUGCGUAGAGAUGUGGAGGAACACCAGUGGCGAAGGCGACUCUUUGGUCUGUAACUGACGCUGAGGCGCGAAAGCGUGGGGAGCAAACAGGAUUAGAUACCCUGGUAGUCCACGCCGUAAACGAUGAGUGCUAAGUGUUAGAGGGUUUCCGCCCUUUAGUGCUGCAGCAAACGCAUUAAGCACUCCGCCUGGGGAGUACGGCCGCAAAGGCUG